CAACAAACUCCAUCGGAUUUAGGAAUGAUACAAAAUUUCUUCAUCUAACAAAGAAAGCCAAUUAUUGAGAUAGGUUACAAUGAAAAAAUGAAGGAUAUCAACAUGGGAAAUGAAAGGAAAUAAGAGAAUUGCUCAUAUGAUAUUAAAUUGUUGGAGGAUAAAAAUAUUUUUAAAACAAUAAGUGAGUAUUUUCACCAGUCUGUGAUAUGAACCAUUCGCUUGAUUCACCUUUUUCAAGGAGCUCUACAUGUCUGGAUGGCUGUCAGUGCUAAAUAGACAAAUCGCAGAGGUGGAACAAGCUAAUGCUUAAGCUUAACAUAUAAUAGGGAACGUUUUAG
rnacentral:misc_RNA from 1 species